GGGUUGUGAGGUUAAGCGACUAAGCGUACACGGUGGAUGCCCUGGCAGUCAGAGGCGAUGAAGGACGUGCUAAUCUGCGAAAAGCGCCGGCGAGGUGAUAUGAACCUUUGACCCGGCGAUGUCCGAAUGGGGAAACCCAGUGUGUUCCGACACACUAUCGUUAACUGAAUACAUAGGUUAACGAGGCGAACCGGGGGAACUGAAACAUCUAAGUACCCCGAGGAAAAGAAAUCAACCGAGAUUCCCCCAGUAGCGGCGAGCGAACGGGGAGCAGCCCAGAGUCUGAAUCAGCUUGUGUGUUAGUGGAAGCGUCUGGAAAGUCGCACGGUACAGGGUGACAGUCCCGUACACGAAAGCACACAGGUUGUGAACUCGAAGAGUAGGGCGGGACACGUGGUAUCCUGUCUGAAUAUGGGGGGACCAUCCUCCAAGGCUAAAUACUCCUGACUGACCGAUAGUGAACCAGUACCGUGAGGGAAAGGCGAAAAGAACCCCGGCGAGGGGAGUGAAAAAGAACCUGAAACCGUGUACGUACAAGCAGUGGGAGCACCUUCGUGGUGUGACUGCGUACCUUUUGUAUAAUGGGUCAGCGACUUAUAUUCUGUAGCAAGGUUAACCGUAUAGGGGAGCCGAAGGGAAACCGAGUCUUAACUGGGCGUUAAGUUGCAGGGUAUAGACCCGAAACCCGGUGAUCUAGCCAUGGGCAGGUUGAAGGUUGGGUAACACUAACUGGAGGACCGAACCGACUAAUGUUGAAAAAUUAGCGGAUGACUUGUGGCUGGGGGUGAAAGGCCAAUCAAACCGGGAGAUAGCUGGUUCUCCCCGAAAGCUAUUUAGGUAGCGCCUCGUGAACUCAUCUUCGGGGGUAGAGCACUGUUUCGGCUAGGGGGCCAUCCCGGCUUACCAACCCGAUGCAAACUACGAAUACCGAAGAAUGUUAUCACGGGAGACACACGGCGGGUGCUAACGUCCGUCGUGAAGAGGGAAACAACCCAGACCGCCAGCUAAGGUCCCAAAGUCAUGGUUAAGUGGGAAACGAUGUGGGAAGGCACAGACAGCCAGGAUGUUGGCUUAGAAGCAGCCAUCAUUUAAAGAAAGCGUAAUAGCUCACUGGUCGAGUCGGCCUGCGCGGAAGAUGUAACGGGGCUAAACCAUGCACCGAAGCUGCGGCAGCGACGCUUAUGCGUUGUUGGGUAGGGGAGCGUUCUGUAAGCCGUUGAAGGUGGCCUGUGAGGGUUGCUGGAGGUAUCAGAAGUGCGAAUGCUGACAUAAGUAACGAUAAAGCGGGUGAAAAGCCCGCUCGCCGGAAGACCAAGGGUUCCUGUCCAACGUUAAUCGGGGCAGGGUGAGUCGACCCCUAAGGCGAGGCCGAAAGGCGUAGUCGAUGGGAAACAGGUUAAUAUUCCUGUACUUGGUGUUGCUGCGAAGGGGGGACGGAGAAGGCUAUGUUAGCCGGGCGACGGUUGUCCCGGUUUAAGCAUGUAGGCGGAGGUUCCAGGUAAAUCCGGUACCUUUUAACGCUGAGGUGUGAUGACGAGGCACUACGGUGCUGAAGUAACAAAUGCCCUGCUUCCAGGAAAAGCCUCUAAGCAUCAGGUAACACGAAAUCGUACCCCAAACCGACACAGGUGGUCAGGUAGAGAAUACCAAGGCGCUUGAGAGAACUCGGGUGAAGGAACUAGGCAAAAUGGUGCCGUAACUUCGGGAGAAGGCACGCUGAUAUGUAGGUGAAGCCCCUGCGGGUGGAGCUGAAAUCAGUCGAAGAUACCAGCUGGCUGCAACUGUUUAUUAAAAACACAGCACUGUGCAAACACGAAAGUGGACGUAUACGGUGUGACGCCUGCCCGGUGCCGGAAGGUUAAUUGAUGGGGUUAGCGGCAACGCGAAGCUCUUGAUCGAAGCCCCGGUAAACGGCGGCCGUAACUAUAACGGUCCUAAGGUAGCGAAAUUCCUUGUCGGGUAAGUUCCGACCUGCACGAAUGGCGUAAUGAUGGCCAGGCUGUCUCCACCCGAGACUCAGUGAAAUUGAACUCGCUGUGAAGAUGCAGUGUACCCGCGGCAAGACGGAAAGACCCCGUGAACCUUUACUAUAGCUUGACACUGAACACUGGUCCUUGAUGUGUAGGAUAGGUGGGAGGCUUUGAAGCGUGGACGCCAGUCUGCGUGGAGCCGUCCUUGAAAUACCACCCUUUAAUGGCUGGUGUUCUAACGUAGACCCGUGAUCCGGGUUGCGGACAGUGUCUGGUGGGUAGUUUGACUGGGGCGGUCUCCUCCCAAAGAGUAACGGAGGAGCACGAAGGUUAGCUAAUCCUGGUCGGACAUCAGGAGGUUAGUGCAAUGGCAUAAGCUAGCUUGACUGCGAGAGUGACGGCUCGAGCAGGUGCGAAAGCAGGUCAUAGUGAUCCGGUGGUUCUGAAUGGAAGGGCCAUCGCUCAACGGAUAAAAGGUACUCCGGGGAUAACAGGCUGAUACCGCCCAAGAGUUCAUAUCGACGGCGGUGUUUGGCACCUCGAUGUCGGCUCAUCACAUCCUGGGGCUGAAGUAGGUCCCAAGGGUAUGGCUGUUCGCCAUUUAAAGUGGUACGCGAGCUGGGUUUAGAACGUCGUGAGACAGUUCGGUCCCUAUCUGCCGUGGGCGCUGGAGAAUUGAGGGGGGCUGCUCCUAGUACGAGAGGACCGGAGUGGACGCAUCACUGGUGUUCGGGUUGUCAUGCCAAUGGCACUGCCCGGUAGCUAAAUGCGGAAAAGAUAAGUGCUGAAAGCAUCUAAGCACGAAACUUGCCCCGAGAUGAGUUCUCCCUGACUCUUUAAGAGUCCUGAAGGAACGUUGAAGACGACGACGUUGAUAGGUCGGGUGUGUAAGCGCAGCGAUGCGUUGAGCUAACCGAUACUAAUGAACCGUGAGGCUUAACCUUACAACGCCGAAG
rnacentral:rRNA from 1 species